UUUGACCCAAAACAAAAGAUCACUUCCGGGUCACAUGACGCCGUCUUCCUGUUUACUCGGAGAGUCGAGAGCAACAGCGGUUUGGAAAAGUUCCCGUCCUUCCGAAGCAAAAAUCACAACUUUCGCGGCUUUAGAGACAACCUGUUGGUGUUUCUGUGCAAGACUAGGGUUCAAGUUUGUUCAGAAGUUGCACAAGAUCUAGGAGGAUGUCGACGACAAGCAGUGCCAAGAGUUUGGGUGACGUCAGGAGAAAG